rnacentral:lncRNA from 10 species
ACUAUCCAGAUCUUGUGUGGCAUGAUGGUAUUGAGCUUGGGGAUCAUUUUGGCAUCUGCUUCCUUCUCUCCAAAUUUUACCCAAGUGACUUCUACACUGUUGAACUCUGCUUACCCAUUCAUAGGACCCUUUUUUUUUAUCAUCUCUGGCUCUCUAUCAAUCGCCACAGAGAAAAGGUUAACCAAGCUUUUGGGGUUGAUGUUGGAGAUUAUGUGAGAGAAUGUCAUACCAUGCAAUUGCACCGAGACUCAAUUUGGAAGCUCUGGCUACAAAAAUCUCCCAAAGCCAGCAAGGAAGUGAGAAACGGCAUCCAGAAAAAUGCCAAUUCUUUUUCUCAUCGGUAUUUAGAGAUUAUUAUUUGGAACCCUCAGUUAGACUCGGAACUACUAACUAGAUCUGUGCUGUUUAAUUUAACUUUCUUUGAGGAUGGAAAUGAAAUGUAACUUUCUAUGAUGAUAGAAAUGAAAUGUAACUUUCUAUGAUGAUGGAAAUGCACUACAGCUGUACUGUACAAUAUGGCAGUCACAUGUGGCUAUCGAUGAUGUGAAAUAUAGUGCAACUGAAUAAAAAUUUCUCUUAAUUUUACUUU